UACGUAGGGAGCAAGCGUUGUCCGGAAUCAUUGGGCGUAAAGCGCGCGUAGGCGGCCCGGUAAGUGGGAUGUGAAAUGCCCCGGCUCACCCGGGGACCGGCAUCCCAUACUGCUUGGCUUGAGUACGGGAGAGGAUGUGGGAAUUCCUGGUGUAGCGGUGAAAUGCGUAGAUAUCUGGAGGAACACCGGUGGCGAAGGCGGCGUCCUGGACCAACACUGACACUGAGGAGCGAAAGCCAGGGGAGCAAACGGG
rnacentral:rRNA from 1 species